rnacentral:rRNA from 1 species
GCAGCCGCCGCGGUAACACCGGCGGCCCGAGUGGUGAUCGUGAUUAUUGGGUCUAAAGGGUCCGUAGCCGGUUUGGUCAGUCCUCCGGGAAAUCUGAUAGCUCAACUAUUAGGCUUUCGGGGGAUACUGCCAGACUUGGAACCGGGAGAGGUAAGAGGUACUACAGGGGUAGGAGUGAAAUCUUGUAAUCCCUGUGGGACCACCUGUGGCGAAGGCGUCUUACCAGAACGGGUUCGACGGUGAGGGACGAAAGCUGGGGGCACGAACCGGAUUAGAUACCCGGGUAGUCCCAGCCGUAAACGAUGCUCGCUAGGUGUCAGGCAUGGCGCGACCGUGUCUGGUGCCGCAGGGAAGCCGUGAAGCGAGCCACCUGGGAAGUACGGCCGCAAGGCUGAAACUUAAAGGAAUUGGCGGGGGAGCACAACAACGGGUGGAGCCCUGCGGUUUAAUUGGACUCAACGCCGGACAACUCACCGGGGGCGACAGCAAUAUGUAGGCCAAGCUGAAGACUUUGCCUGAAUCGCUGAGAAGAGGUGCAUGG